rnacentral:rRNA from 1 species
AUUGAACGCUGGCGGCAGGCUUAACACAUGCAAGUCGAGCGGAGAUGAGGUGCUUGCACCUUAUCUUAGCGGCGGACGGGUGAGUAAUGCUUAGGAAUCUGCCUAUUAGUGGGGGACAACAUUCCGAAAGGAAUGCUAAUACCGCAUACGCCCUACGGGGGAAAGCAGGGGAUCUUCGGACCUCGCGCUAAUAGAUGAGCCUAAGUCGGAUUAGCUAGUUGGUGGGGUAAAGGCCUACCGAGGCGACGAUCUGUAGCGGGUCUGAGAGGAUGAACGGCCACACUGGGACUGAGACACGGCCCAGACUCCUACGGGAGGCAGCAGUGGGGAAUAUUGGACAAUGGGCGGAAGCCUGAUCCAGCCAUGCCGCGUGUGUGAAGAAGGCCUUUUGGUUGUAAAGCACUUUAAGCGAGGAGGAGGCUACCUGGAUUAAUACUCUAGGAUAGUGGACGUUACUCGCAGAAUAAGCACCGGCUAACUCUGUGCCAGCCGCCGCCGUAAAAC